rnacentral:rRNA from 1 species
AUUGAACGCUGGCGGCAGGCCUAACACAUGCAAGUCGAACGAGUGGCGGACGGGUGAGUAAUGUCUGGGAAACUGCCUGAAGGGGGGGGAUAACUACUGGAAACGGUAGCUAAUACCGCAUACCAUCGGAUGUGCCCAGAUGGGAUUAGCUAGUAGGUGGGGUAAAGGCUCACCUAGGCGACGACCCCUAGCUGGUCUGAGAGGAGGACCAGCAACACUGGAAAUGAGACAGGGUCCAGACGCCUACGGGAGGCAGCAGGGGGGAAGAUUGCACAAUGGGCGCAAGCCUGAUGCAGCCAGGCGGCGUGGAUGAAGAAGGCUUGCGGGUUGUAAAGUACUUUCAGCGGGGAGGCGUUACCCGAAGAAGAAGCACCGGCUAACUCCGUGCCAGCAGCCGCGGUAAUAC